AAAUGCGAACAUCCAGUUAUAAUGAGACCAUAAUUGUUUUUUACAGCAUAAUAUAAGAUGCACAUCAAAUGGAAAUUAUGCUUGACGGCUGCUUUUUCAAUUUUCAAACAUUCACCUGAUUUUUUUAAGUUAAAAGAUUCUUCUAAAAAAAUUGUUCACAAAAAUUGUAUCCUUGCGUCCUUGGUCAACCUUCGAGGAAAUAGUCGAGGCUUUGCGACACCUUCGAGACGCUUAAAUGCUUGUUUAAACAAUCAAUCCACCCGUUGUUCUGACAUUUCAUACGUGUAAACCUGCACGUGCACCGGUAGAACGUUGGUAAAGCCUUGCCAGCCUGCACAAAUAAGGUUGAUCGGUAUUUCUAUGGUGAAUGCUGCUCCUCUAAGAGGCAAACUAUUGUUCUCUUUGUUCAAGAUUAAUGCUAUAAUUAUCAACCUGUAAUGUAUAAUUAAUAUAAUAAUAGAAA